CUCACUCUGUUGCCCAGGCUAGAGUGCAGUGGUACAGUCUUGGCUCACUGCAACCUCUGCCUCCCAGGUUCAAGCGAUUCUUGUGUCUCAGCCUCCCAAGUAGUUGAGAUUACAGGCACGAGCCACCACACCUGGCGAAUUUUUGUAUUUUUAGUAGAGAGGGGGUUUCACCAUGUUGGCCAGGCUGGUCUCAACUCCUGACCUCAAGUAAUCCACCCAUCUCAGCCUCCCAAAGUGCUGGGAUUACAGGCGUGAGCCACAGCACCUGCCCUGGUUGUCCUACUUUCAAUGAUGCUAAGAUUAAUCAGUGUUUCAGGUGAUAACAGACUGAUCCUUCCAUUGUAAAGCUCCAAUCAACAUUUUGUCUAAUGAUUUUAGCCAUUAAUAAUCAUACCCUAAGUCAAUUACAUGCUGCAAAUGAUGAUUAGAUUCUAUUAUUUUUUCAUUAUCUAUUUUCUUUGACAUUCAUUAGCUUGAAUUCUAUAAAGAAGAACUUUUCCUUCUAAGUUAAGGCUAUGUGGUUACACAUACAUGCCUAAAAGAAAGCAGAAUAAAGAUAAGUAUUUAUUUUGAUUGCCAAAUAUCAGGGUAAGGAGUAACUGACCUAGUUAAUUCUAAUGGUGACCAAAGUGUGAUGACUUUUAAACAUUUUAUUGAUUUUCUUUUUUGUAUCUUUAUAAUUAAUGCAUUUUGAAAUAAAUUCAACACAUUUAAAUCAAUUGCAUUCAGUAUAUGUUUUCUCUUUUGACUCUCAUCUUGCCUCCAGUUUGGCUAAAGAAAGACUUUUUAGGUUAAUUCCUUUGUCCUUUGGGCACAAUCUCAUUAGUCUUUGAUAGCUACCUUGCUUUCUAAGUGAUAUGGUUAGGCUUUGUGUCCCUACCCAAAUCUCAUCUUGAAUUGUAAUCCCCAUAAUCCCCAUCAUCCCCACGUGUAAAGGGAGAGACGAGAUAGAGGUAACAAUCAUGGUGGCAGUUUCUCUCAUGCUGUUCUCAUGAUAGUGAGUUCUCACAAGAUCUGAUGGUUUUAUAAAGAGCUCUUCCCCCUUCACUUGGCAUUGUCCUUCUUGCCACCACUUUGUGAAGAAGGUGCCUUGCUUCCCCUUUGCCUUCUACCAUGAUUUUAAGUUUUCUGAGGCCUCCCCAGCCACACUGAACUGUGAGUCAAUUAAACCUCUUUUCUUCAUAAAUUACCCAGUUUCUGGCAGUUCCUUAUAGCAGUGUGAAAACAGACUAAUACACCAGGGCAACAAACCGUCCCAGGCUCAUCUUAAAUUGCCUAACCUUAAAACUGGAGUCAGGUGUCCCUCCAAAGUUUCCUAGUCAUUGUUAGUGUGGAAUGGUAUUUAGGGAUUAUAGUCUAUAUGCUAAGUAUGCUCAUUUUCAAGGGGUUGUAGAAUAGUUUAUAUUAUUAUCCUCAACUCCUAACUCCCUUCUCAUUUAUUAUUGUAUGAUUUCUAGGGCCUCCCAGCAGGCAGAACACAAUUCUCCAUCCCAGUUCCACGUUUGGCCACGUGAUGUGCUUUGACCAAUGGGCACAUAUCAUGUUAAGUAGAAGCUUUUAGAGCUGUUAAGGACAGAGCUAAGCUUUGUCCUUUGCUUUUCCCUAGGCCACAAGGACAGUCUGUUCCAAACAGGGUCAAUUGCUUCAGCUUGAGUCCUGGAAAAAGAAGAUUGUAGAGAAAAGACUCAGCAGCUGAUCUGGAGCCACCAAAAUGGAAUACAAGCCAAAUAUAUAAUGCAUAUGGUGGCAAACUACUGAGGUUUUUAAGGUUAUCUGUUACUUCUUCAAAGCUGAUUGAUACAGGCUGUGAUGUCUUCUGGGCCUUUUUAGUAGACAGAUAGGAAAAGCAGCUUUGAAAAGAGGAAAGCAUUGUGAGUUCAAACUCAAUUCAAAUAGAACAUUUCCAAAUCAGAUAGAACAUUAUAGGACCUGUACUUAAUUUUUAAAAACUUUAUACAUAUAUCUCUUUUUUCUACACUAAAAAUCUUAAUUUCUAUUUACAUUAGUAUAAUUACUGAUUUGUAUUUCCUAUAAUAUAACAUAGUGUCAAAAUAACAAAAUCAUUAUUUUAAAGUACUAAAGUUUAAAACAUAUUUGUAGCUAUUUUUGUCCUUAAGAUAUAUUCUACUGUUUGGUGGAAUAUUAUGUUUUUAGGUUCAGAUUGAAAUAAUUAUUUCCUUUAUGUGGUUAUAUCACUAAUUUGAUAUACAGUAGGUUCAUUUCCUUAUUUCUUUUUUUUUCUUUUAGAGACAGCAUCUUUCUCUGUCACCCACGCUAGAGUGCAGUAGCACAAUCACAGCUCACCACAGCCUCGAUCUCCCAGGACCAAGCAAACCUCCCACCUCAGCCUCGUGAGUAGCUGAGACUACAGGCAUGCCACCAUGCCCAGCUAAUUUUUAUUUAUUUUUCUUUUUUGUAGAGGCGUGGCCUUCCUAUAUGGCCUAGGCUGGUCUUGAACUCCUGGUCUUAAGCAAUCUUCCUGCCUGGGCCUCCCAAAGUAUGGGGAUUACAAGUGUAAACCACCAUGCCCAGCUCAUAUGUAUUUAGGAAGUUUCACAAUGUGAAGAAAGCGAAGAGUAAAAACAGCAGGUGACUGCAUUGACAAAAUGAAAGCAAGCAAAUUGGACAAACCUAGCAUAAAGAAGACAGACCAGGUUAUGCAUUUUUACUCCUUACAAAUAUAAAGACAAGCCCGUCCUAAAUUAUCCCAGUAGAAAAUUUUGACAACUACAACAAAACAGAAAACCCAACAAAACAAAUAAAAAUUUGAUGCUGAUGACAUGCGAUAAAGAAAAGCAGAGCUCUCCAGUAAAAACCAAAAUUCCUGUCUGUUAAGUUUACAAGGAUUCUUCCUUAGGACUUUCUGAGCCAAGACAAUGGACAGCUAAGAGGGCAGCUCUUGAAAUACUUUCACAGGAUUUGCUUCUCUGCUCAUAAAAUGUAGGAACAAUUCAAACUGGAGAGCAUUUCCUACCCAUUCACUGGCCUGAAGAUUCAUAGAGUAGGGUUUUGUGUUGCUGUCAGCAGGCAUUUAUCUGAGCACACAUCCAUCCAUCCUCCCUCUCUCUCUCUCUCUCCUUCUCUCUCUCUCUCUUUCCCCCCACACCCGAUGCAUGCAUACACUCACACACUUUGGAACUUAGAAGGCCACUCUUCUGAAUAUCAAAUCAAGUAAAAUGACCAUUCUAAGGGUGACAACUCAGGGAAACUCUGGAAACACUGGAAACAAAUACUGAAAAUAAACUUACGUGUGGGAGAGAGAAUAACAUUGAAAGAAGGUAUACAUAGUAACCAAAAGAGCUACUGUUUCAUGUUUAUAGGUUGGGAACUGAACAGAAAGUUGAAAACACAGCACACAUGAUUAAAAAAUUUUUUCCUUAAAAACCAAAGAGCCAUUUUUCUUAAAUUCCUGAUCAGAUUUAAUUAACUACAUUUCAAAUGCAGUCAUGCACUGCAUAAUGACAUUUUGGUCAACAAUGAACCAUAUCAGUGGUCCCACAGAUUAUAAUGGAGCUGAAAAAUUCUUAUCAUCUAGUGAUGCUAUAACGCCCGUACUGCUGUAACACAAGAACUUUAUUGUUUUAUAAAUUUAGUGUAGCCUAAGUGUACAGUGUUGAUAAAGUCUACAGUAGUAUACAGUAAUGUCCCAGGCCUUCACAUUCACUCACCACUCACUCACUGACUCACUCAGAGCAACUUCUAGUCCUGCAAGCUCCACUCAUGAUAUGUUUCUACACAGGUGUACCAUUUAUCUUUUGUGCUGUUUUUACUGUACCUUUUCCAUGUUUAGAUAUGUUUAGGUACACAAAUACUUACAACUGUUUACCGUUGCCUACAGUAUCCAGUACAGUAACAUGCUGUAUAGGUUUGUAGCCUAGGAGCAAUAGGCUACACCAUAUAGCCUUGGUGUGCAGCAGGCUCUACCAUCUAGGUUUCUGUAAGUACACUCUAUGAUCACACAAUAACAAAAUCACCUAACGACACAUUUCUCAGAACACAUCGCAUCAUUAGGUGACAACUGUAAAAAGCAAUUGUCAGUGGUUAUAUGUGUAUGUGUAAUUAUGUGAGUAUAUUUAUCAAUAAACUAUAUAAAAUAAGUACUUACACAAGCAAUUGCCUGGACUACUCCAAUAACUUCUAACUGGUCUCCCCAGUUUGACUCCCCCCACCCCAAUCCUUCCAUUCACCAUACUCCAUCCAAUGCAUUCUCUUUAAAAUGCAAAUCAAACUGAUAUUCAAUGUCAAAAGGCUUCAAUGGCUUCUUCAGUUUACUAAGUGUGUUAUACAUGUAAUUCUCCCUAAACCUCUAUGAGGUAAGCACUCUUAUUGGGAUUAUCACCAACACUGAUGAGUAAACUGACAUAAUACAGGUGUUAACCUGUAUAAGAUCACACAGCUGGUAAGAGCACAGAGUGCUGCAUUGGAGUGCAUGUUCUUUACCACCAUACUAUGCAAUUUGAAAUACAACUAAUAAAAAAUAUAGCUUUAGGCCAGGCGCGGUGGCUCACGCCUGUAAUCCCAGCACUUUGGGAAGCCAAGGCAGGCAGAUCAUCUGAGGUCAGGAGAUCAAGACCAGCCUGGCCAACAUGACGAAACCCAGUCUCUACUAAAAAUACAAAAGUUAGGUGGGCGUGGUGGUGGGAGCCUAUAAUCCCAGCUACUCAGGAGGCUGAGGCAGGAGAAUUGCUUGAAACCAGGAGGUGGAGGUUGUGGUGAGCUGAGAUUGCGCCACUGCAUUCCAGCUUGGGUGACAGAGCAAGAUUCCAUCUCAAAUAAAACAAACAAACAAACAAACAAACAAAACCAAAAAACCAACCAGCUUUAUAUCACUAUGAGUUAUACUUUAAAGGUAAAAGUUAUGGUGGCUUCAUGGAAUCUAGAAUAUUCUUGGCUACAGCACUGAAAACACUGUCGCUGUGCAUAACCUCAUUUUGGCUGCUGUGAGAAACAGAAUAAUAGCCCCACAAAGAUGUCCACAUCCUACUCCCCAGAACCUAUAAAUAUCUUACUUUACAUGGUAAAUAGGAAUUGCAGUUGUAGAUGGAUGAAAGUUGCUAACCAGCUGACUUUGAAAUGGAUAAAUUAUCCAGAGUUACUCAGGUAAGCCCAAGGUAAUGACAAGGGUCCUGAUGAGUGGAAGAAGGAAGCAGAAGAGAGAGAACAAGAGAGGUGGCAGCCUGGUGUCGCAGGGCCGUGAGUGGGGACAGGUGGCAGCCUGGCAGGACAGGGCCGUGAGUGGGGCGCCUCCAGAAGCUGGAAAAGCCAUGGAAACAGAUUCUGCCCUAGAACCUCCAGAAGGAAUGCUUCAUGCUGAUACCUUGAUUUUAGGCCAGUGAGACCUGUUUCAGACUUCUGACCUCUAGAAGUUUAAGACAAUCAAUUUGUAUUGUUUUGUUUUUGGUCAUGUGUUUCACAGAAAUAGAAAAGUAAUACAGUUGGGUUAUUUUUUCUGAGUUCUAGCCUUGUUAACAGUAACACCGUCCAAGAAAACAAUCCCUGGUUUUAAGUUUUAUUUUGCUGCUUUUGCCAAAGGAGGCACCUGACCCAGGUUCUGAUUCCCCUUUUCCAUCUUCACCACCAUCUUCCUCAAAACAUCAGUCUAGCAAGAGGGGUAUACUGGAGUAUUGACUCAGCAGUGUUACUACUAUAUUGCUAUGGGAUGAAAAAAUAUUAUUUUAAGAAUGGCCUUUAUAGCUUCCUGGUGGUCUGACUUCAAUAAAGCUAGCAGCUCUUACCUCUAUAUUCCAAUACAUCUUCUCUAUGAGGAAGGCCCACAGGAGGAAACCAAUGCAAUGGAAACCAUGGGUGGUGAACAUCCGUAAGCUCCUGUGGGCUCCUCUCAUUAAACUGCUCAUGUGGGAGGAUAAAUGAGUGUUUUCAGUCAUAGGGAACUCACUGUGCUCAGGCUGAAGUUUUUGUUUUUGACUUCAUUCUUUCUAAUAUAAUUUCUUUCAUAGUCUUGAAAUGGUUGUUAAAUCCACCUACAAGCCCAUUUUAGCGUUUCUGUUCAUCAGAUAAUUGAGACUGUGCCAGCACGGAACCACUUCUCUCCAGCAAAUUGAUUAUGGCAGUUGCUUCUUAACAAUAGAUACAGAGGGCAGAAUUUUCCUAGUACCGGUUCCCUGGAGUGCUGUUUUGGGUCAGUUCUGGCAAAAAGGCAGAACCUUGUGAUUUUACAAAAGAUUCAGACCUCUCUCCCCUACCACAAUCUUUAUCAGUUGAUGAGAGAUUAGACUCAGGCUAAGCGCCUGGAUCAGGUUCCAGUCCAGAUCUGAGGACCAGCUGCUACUGGUUAGGUGGAAUCAGGAACUGAUUCAUGAUCAGCUCCUUGGCUCUGAGAGACCCCAAAAGGCAUGACAACACCCCACCAAACACGGAAUACUCAUUCCUAUUAUUUUUUGACAUAUCAGCUUAAAUGAUGCCUCAGAGAAAUCUAACACUCCACCUACUUAACAUGAAGUUAGAGCUUCAUGAUUUAUAUUGCAAUCAGUUCAAUCUAUACACUUCUUUUACCUACCCUACCUCAUCCCCAUUCCAUCUGCUGUGGUUUAUGUCCCCCCACAUUCAUAUGUUGAAAUCUAAUCACCAAUGUGAUGGUAUUAGGAGUUGAAGGCUUUGGACCGUGAUCUGGUCAUGACAACAGUGCGCUUACAAAGAGACCUCAGAGCUGCCUUGCUUCUUCCGCCAUGGGAGGUCACCCUGAGAAGGCUCCAUCUAUGAACCAGGAAGUGGGCCCUUGCCUGACACUGAAUUUGCUGGUAUCUUGAUUGUGAACUUCUCAGCCUCCAGAGCUGUGAGAAAUAAACGUUGUUUAUAAGCUA